UUUCACUAUCCUGAACACGGAUACACUGUGACACGCAAGGACGGCAUGUUCGACCUCCUCGCCAACGGUGGAGCGUCCCUCACGUUAAGUUUCGAGCGCGCUCCGUUCCUCACCCAGUACAGGACCGUGUGGGUGCCGUGGAACGUCUUCUACGUGAUGGACACGUUGGUCAUGAAGAAGGAGGAGAACGACAUCCCGAGCUGCGACCUGAGCG